AUUGAACGCUGGCGGCAGGCUUAACACAUGCAAGUCGAGCGGGGGAAGUUGCUUCGGUAACUGACCUAGCGGCGGACGGGUGAGUAAUACUUAGGAAUCUGCCUAUUAAUGGGGGACAACAUCUCGAAAGGGAUGCUAAUACCGCAUACGCCCUACGGGGGAAAGCAGGGGAUCACUUGUGACCUUGCGUUAAUAGAUGAGCCUAAGUCGGAUUAGCUAGUUGGUGGGGUAAAGGCCUACCAAGGCGACGAUCUGUAGCGGGUCUGAGAGGAUGAUCCGCCACACUGGGACUGAGACACGGCCCAGACUCCUACGGGAGGCAGCAGUGGGGAAUAUUGGACAAUGGGGGGAACCCUGAUCCAGCCAUGCCGCGUGUGUGAAGAAGGCCUUAUGGUUGUAAAGCACUUUAAGCGAGGAGGAGGCUCUCUUGGUUAAUACCCAAGAUGAGUGGACGUUACUCGCAGAAUAAGCACCGGCUAACUCUGUGCCAGCAGCCGCGGUAAUACAGAGGGUGCGAGCGUUAAUCGGAUUUACUGGGCGUAAAGCGUGCGUAGGCGGCUUUUUAAGUCGGAUGUGAAAUCCCCGAGCUUAACUUGGGAAUUGCAUUCGAUACUGGGAAGCUAGAGUAUGGGAGAGGA
rnacentral:rRNA from 1 species